rnacentral:rRNA from 1 species
UACGGAGGGUGCAAGCGUUGCUCGGAAUUAUUGGGCGUAAAGGGUAGGUAGGUGGUCUCAUUUGUCUGGGGUGAAAGCCUUGAGCUUAACUCAAGAAGUGCCCCAGAAACGGUGAGACUGGAGUCCUGGAGAGGGUCGUGGAAUUCCCGGUGUAGCGGUGAAAUGCGUAGAGAUCGGGGGGAACACCAGAGGCGAAAGCGGCGACCUGGACAGGCACUGACACUCAACUACGAAAGCGUGGGGAGCAAACAGG